AAAACCCUAGCAGCCUCCAUUCCACCCCUCGUCUCGCGGAUAGGUAGAGCAAGCAUGCAACGAGCGGCGGCGAUCGCCUCCACCGCCCUGCGGAGGCUCGCGGCAGCGGCGUCCGCCCGGCCGCCGAUCCUUGCCCGGGCCGCCUCCUCGGCCUUCUCCCGGCGCCUCGGUUCGUCCCUCGACUUCUACCGCCCGAUCAUGCGCCUCCUGCCGCCCGUUGACGCGCCCUCGCGCGGCUACGCCCGACGCCGGGAGGUCAUCCCGAGCGAGGAGGAGGAGGAGAAGGAGGAGGAGGAGGAGGAGGACGAGGAUUUCGACGACGAGGAGGAUCUCGAUGGCUAUUUCGAUGGCGAUGUCGAUGUCGAUGGGGGCUGGACCGAGUUCUACAACCGCGAAUUGACGGACGAGUCCGAUUGACUCCCGGUGCGUGCACUACCUUAGUCCGAACUCUCGUGUCCGUAGCGUGUUUGCUUAAAUGACGGUUUGCGAUUGAUGGGCAAAAAAAGACUCUUCAUGUAAGUCGAUUAUGGGUCGAGAAUUGAUAUGGCUGUUUGCUUGAACUGAGGAAUAAUAAUAUCGCUUCUUUAGCUUUUGCUUGCAGUAUAUGUAUGUAGCUUGUUGUUUCUCGACGAUCUCCGCUGUAGCCUCCUGGCUUCAUCAAAAAGGACCUUAGAAGGAAGGCUCUUCUUUCUCCUUCCCCCUGUAGAAGCAAAGAAAGUUGUUGCUAAAUUGUCUCGAAGAAAAGCAAAUCAACCGAAAGGAAACAAUACCAUGAGUAGUAAGUAUUAAACAAGAAUUGGCGAAAAGCACGACAUGCUGUUAGCGCUCUCUUUUCUUUCUUUUCCCUUCCCUUUCUCUUCUGCCUCCU
rnacentral:lncRNA from 1 species